CCACGAGCGGGAGACAGCCGGCGCAGCGCCGCUCGGAGCCGCCGCCGCGGACGUUGCCGAACCAGUCGCUGCAGAGGCGCGCAGCAAGGUAUCAGUUGAGGCUCCCGUCCCAGCUGUUUCAACUGUCUCGGAUUCGGCUGACGCAACUCAGCCCAAUGAGGAACUUCGCGCGGGCCGUCCGCUGUUUGAGCCUGAACCGGCGCCGCGACCACCUGCCUCUCCAUCGCCGCCGCAACCGCCGUCGGCACUUUGGAACUUUUUCUUCGGCGGCAACACCUUGGUCCGCUUCGGCGUCAUCGUGUUGUUUUUUGGCGUCGCCUUUCUACUCAAGUACGCUUCGGA
rnacentral:misc_RNA from 1 species